AGCCGGAAGACUGGCGCUCCCCACCCGCGGCUGCCUGUGGGCCGGAAGCCCUCCUUCCGGGGAACAACGAGAGAAAGUGCUGAUAUUUUAGAAAGUCCUCUGCAGGUGUUAAUCAUGUGCGACGAUGUCAGGGGACAGCAUGCCCCCCAGGCGGCACCUCCAGUACACUCCAAAGCAAGUAGCCUCGCUCAGUCCCCCCGUUCCAUGAAGAAGUCCCUAGCAACAUAGCUUUGUCCAGAGAGGUUAGCGAGACAAAGAAGCUGAGAAAAACUAGUGCAAUGGAGGCUGGUCCUAAGGUUAAGCUCUGCAAGGGCCCUGGAAACUAGCCUGGGUGUGAAUAUCUUCAGACCGAGCUCAUAGGAGACUUGUAUUCUUUUACUCACCCACAGAGAUAAUGGAUCUAGAUAUUUUGAUUUUACUAAAUUCAAAACCACUGGGAUUCUUUUUUCUUCAAGUAUAACCAAUGCCAGACUUCAUUAUUCCCUUUGGAAUGAGGAAUAAUUCUGUGUGCUGCCCGGUAUAUUUCUUUAAGUCCCUCUAUCUCAUUCUGCUGUGUUACAAUGGACACAAUUUUCUUAUUGUGCUUAUCAGCCUCUAAUUCUGGGCUGUCUAACAUAUUUGUCUGUCUGGUGUAGAGAAAGUGUAAACCAACUUAAAGGGCAUCCCAGGGCAACUGAAGGAAGGAUAUGGUUUCAAAACCUUAUUAGGAUUCUCCGAGUGUAGGCACCCUUCCUUAAAUCCUUUUCUCCCAAUUUAGAAUCAACCAUCCUUUCCCUCCAGGUAAAAGUGUGUUUUUUCCUCUAACUUGUCUGGAAUGAAGCUGUAUGAACGAUGACUGCCAGAAUCUUCUCCUUUCCUGAGGGAAGAAAUGAUCCUUCCCUCAUAUACACAAGAGCCCCAGGAAUCCUACUGAACAUAAACAGUCUAGAACCUGUGUCAGGGGGCGGCUGUGAGGUCUGAGGCACUCCCUGGAAAGUCUUAGAAUGAACGGUGCCUCCACCCAGACUCCGUGAUUAGUAAAUGUCAGCGUUCUACGUGAGUGCUAAGCCAGUCCAAGUGAGCCUUCUACGGAUGACCUCUUCCUGCCUUCCCACCACCUCCACUUCAGAAGGAUGACCCAGCUUUCAGAUUAGCCAAAGCAGGACAGGUGACUCCGCUAUGAGAGGGAGAUGGUGCUGCGCUCCUGAGG